rnacentral:tRNA from 1 species
AGAGGGAUAGCUCAGUGGUAGAGUGCAUGCUUUGCAUGCAGGAGGCCCUGGGUUCAGUCCCCAGUACCUCCA